rnacentral:rRNA from 1 species
CUACGUAGGGGGCGAGCGUUGUCCGGAAUGAUUGGGCGUAAAGGGCGCGUAGGCGGCCCGGUAAGUCUGGAGUGAAAGGCCUGUUUUUCAGAUGGGAAUUGCUUUGGAUACUGUCGGGCUUGAGUGCAGGAGAGGUAAGUGGAAUUCCCAGUGUAGCGGUGAAAUGCGUAGAGAUUGGGAGGAACACCAGUGGCGAAGGCGACUUACUGGACUGUAACUGACGCUGAGGCGCGAAAGUGUGGGGAGCAAACAGGAUUAGAUACCCUGGUAGUCCACACUGUAAACGAUGAAUGCUAGGUGUAGGGGGUAUCGACCCCUUCUGUGCCGCAGUCAACACAAUAAGCAUUCCGCCUGGGGAGUACGGCCGCAAGGUUGAAACUCAAAUGAAUUGACGGGG